rnacentral:rRNA from 1 species
UACGAAGGGGGCUAGCGUUGCUCGGAAUCACUGGGCGUGAAGCGCGCGCAGGUGGUCUUUCAAGUCAGUGGUGAAAGCCCGGAGCUCAACUCCGGAAAUGCCAUUGAAACUGUAAGACUUGAGGAUGAGAGAGGUGAGUGGAAUUCCCAGUGUAGAGGUGAAAUUCGUAGAUAUUGGGAAGAACACCGGUGGCGAAGGCGGCUCACUGGCUCAUAUCUGACGCUCAGGCGCGACAGCGUGGGGAUCAAACAGG